rnacentral:rRNA from 1 species
UACAGGGGGGUGCUAGCGUUGUUCGGAAUCACUGGGCGUAAAGGGUGCGUAGGUGGCGGGGCAAGUCUGGUGUGAAAUCCCGGGGCUCAACCCUGGAACUGCACUGGAUACUGCUUUGCUAGAGUACUGGAGAGGGAACUGGAAUUUACGGUGUAGCAGUGAAAUGCGUAGAUAUCGUAAGGAAGACCAGUGGCGAAGGCGAGUUCCUGGACAGUUACUGACACUGAGGCGCGACAGCGUGGGGAGCAAACAGG